AUUUACAAUUUCAUUAUUAAGAUUAGUUUAUUUGGCUUAUGUUUCAGUCUAGAAUUUCACGAAUGAUUUGGACAAGGGCAUUAUGGUAACUAAGCUUUGCAUCCAUUAAGCCCGGAAGCUACUAGAACACGGCUCCGAGCGGAGGGCAGCCCCAACUGUGAUUCAACGGUCCUGAUUUGCCGUCCAUUUUCUGAGCUUCUCUAAACGCUUCCAGAAACCCCACGUGUUCCUCGUUGCCCCUCAAAACCCCUCUACAACCCUUUCUUUCCCUCCUCUUAUCUGUUCGUCAUUUGCCAUUACUACUAUCAGAGGACGGGUCCUCGCUCUCAUACCUUGACGUAAGCGUUUUUUGUGAUUAUUUCAUCGAAUUUUACCCCAUUUCUCUGAUUAACAAUGGAAUUAUCGCUCAUUUUCUCCCAUUUUCGGUGAAUUUAUCACUUUUAUCUCGUGAAGCUGUGGUUUUUAGGGCUCAUUUGGGAAUGUUAUGAAAUUAGGUUCCAUAAAUCUGUUUCUUUCCCAGCGAUUUUUUAUACUGGAUUGUUGUAUUUUUUAUUUAUUUAUUUUAUUGUUUAUUCUUUUAGGUUGUCAAGUGUGUGUUUCUUGACCCUUUUCUCUGUAUUUUCCUGUUUAGAUUGAUAAUAUUUGAACUUGAGAGAAUUUUUUCUUUAAGUUGAUGACAAAGGGAUAUCUACUGUAAUUUACCGAAAGAUCGGAAAUUUAGUGCUUAUAUUAGUUUUGUAGUUAGUUUGCGGUCAAUAUUUUUGUAUUACUUAGAUGAAAGGAAAUAGCUUGUUUUGCUGCACCUAUUUGCGUUUUGGAUAUUAUCCCUUAUUAUUUUGUGAGUUAUUUGUUGUGUGCUUCGAUUUCUGUGGCUUUUUGCUUUGUUCUUAAAAUGUUUUUUUUUUGAGUGAGCAUAAACCUUUAAAGUUUUUUCACUCACCUGUUCCCAUUGUCCAUCCUCAAGUUCCACUUUUCUAGCUUCAUUCGUUUAAUUAUUUGCAUUUGCAUAUAUAUACCUGUUUCCUAGGACUCACAGAAACCUUGUCCUUAUAAAAAUUAUACUCUAAAAAUGUUUCAAAUCAAGUAGAUCUAUAAAUGC
rnacentral:lncRNA from 1 species